AAUCCAGAAAAUUCGCAUUUGCAGCCGCAGUUACGUUGACGUUCCCUUGUUCACUGUCGGCAACCUUAAUUGUUAUUCUGUUCUACAAAUGAUAAACAAAGAUGUCCAAAAUAAUUCAUUUGAAGCCACCGAGAAGAAACAACAAGAUAGAGAGUGGGCUAUGCGAAAACCAGUGGCUGGUGUCCAAAAAGAACCCAAAGUCAAGAAAAGACGGACUAUUCACAAAAAGAAGUGAAAUCCCAUCAAAAAACAUUUCAUGUAAAAGAUGUAGCCAAGUCUUGUGCCUCUUUAUCUGUAAAGAUUUGAGAUAUCACCG
rnacentral:lncRNA from 1 species